GUCUACAGCUAUACCAUCCUGAACGCACCCAGUCUCGUCUGAUCUUGGAAGCUAAGCAGGGUAGGGCCUGGUUAGUACUUAGAUGGGAGACCACCUGGGAAUACCAGGUGCUGUAGGCU
ensembl:rRNA 5S_rRNA 5S ribosomal RNA